rnacentral:lncRNA from 1 species
GAGAAAAUUGAGAAUUGUGGCUGCAUCAAGUCUUACUUCUUGUGAGAAAAGAAUCUAAUAGUCCGUCCUAACAUUAAUUUUGCUCCCCUUAAAUAACUAUCGAAAGAAAUGUAGACAACUAGAUUUUUUGGUUGUCCCAUGGAGUGAAACAAGUGUCGUACCACGUUUAAAUAAAUUACCCCCUUCGUCCAAUUUAUGUGAUGCACU